ensembl:snRNA
AUCAUCCUUUUCUUGGGGUUGUGCUGCUGUCCAGUGAGCACAUAGUGAGGGCAGUACUGCUAAGGCCUAACCAACACACCCGUAUCAGCUGGAGCUUUGCUUUACCUUUGUGCAAUUUUUGGAAAA